rnacentral:rRNA from 1 species
CAGUGGCGAACGGGUGAGUAACACGUGGGCAAUCUGCCCUGCACUCUGGGACAACACCGGGAAACCGGUGCUAAUACCGGAUACGACGCACCUCGGCAUCGGGUGUGCGUGGAAAGCUCCGGCGGUGCAGGAUGAGCCCGCGGCCUAUCAGCUUGUUGGUGGGGUGAUGGCCUACCAAGGCGACGACGGGUAGCCGGCCUGAGAGGGCGACCGGCCACACUGGGACUGAGACACGGCCCAGACUCCUACGGGAGGCAGCAGUGGGGAAUAUUGCACAAUGGGCGAAAGCCUGAUGCAGCGACGCCGCGUGAGGGAUGAAGGCCUUCGGGUUGUAAACCUCUUUCAGCAGGGAAGAAGCGCAAGUGACGGUACCUGCAGAAGAAGCACCGGCUAACUACGUGCCAGCAGCCGCGGUAAUACGUAGGGUGCGAGCGUUGUCCGGAAUUAUUGGGCGUAAAGAGCUCGUAGGCGGCCUGUCGCGUCGGAUGUGAAAGCCCGGGGCUUAACCCCGGGUCUGCAUUCGAUACGGGCAGGCUAGAGUUCGGUAGGGGAGAUCGGAAUUCCU